GUUUUCCGACUUUCAGACCUAGAGCUUUGGUAUUAUCCGAUGACUUUGUCUUCGCUCGAUAGACGUUUUGGGUAACUUCCGACGUCUGUGACCUUAUUCCGGCGAGUUUCAGAACCUACGGUUUCCGGUGUUAGACCUAGGGUUUUCUCUGUUGAUUAAAGGCCGAUCUUCUCCGGUCGUGAAGAAGGAGGGUAACUCUGUCCUUAUUUUGAGUAUUGUACGCUUUGUAUGUGAGUAUCUGGUUCAGUUAUAUUUUUCUUGCCGAAAGUGUUUUCCUUUCAAACUGGUUCAUUAAUCAUGGCUUAUAAUACGAAUGCUAGUACCUCAUCGAUAGACUCUACCAGCCCCCUUUUUGUGUACUCCUCUGAUGUACAUGUGGUCUCUCUUGUCCCCACUCCCUUCUCGGACAGUGGUUAUGGGGGUUGGAGGAGAA
rnacentral:lncRNA from 1 species